UAUAGUCUUGGAAGUGAAUAGAACGUGCGAAUGAAAUCAAAUCUUAUUCACCAAGUGGGGAAAUAUAUUGCCUACUUUAGACAGUUUAGUGCGCUCGAGUUUGCAAAGAGAGAAGGAAAAAAAAGAUUUGCCAACUACCAAAUAAGAAGUCAAUCAAAAAGGAAGUGGCAAUAUUUAAAUACCGGUUCUUAGUUUCUACGAGAAGAUGUUGCUUCAUGAGUUGGAAACAAUGUGUGCUGAGGAGAAAAUAUCAACAUUGUAGUGCCUAUCAAAAAGAUUUAGUCAGUAGACGAACAGUUAUUAGAUAUCCUUGGGAUAUAUCGAACAAAUUUAUGGAUAACCCACAGAUAUUAAAGGGAGAAUUCAGAUAUUCCUGGGAUGUCAAAGGCACCAAAAAACUUUUUUGGUGUCUUUACCACAAUUUUUUUCAAAAUUCUUCAAAAAUCUUGUGCUGUACGGAGAGAGAAUGAACGUUUUUCAUCUGCAUAAAGUGCAAACUAUUACGCAUAAAUUAACCAAGAGACAGUGCUAAUUGCAUUGGUAAAAUAAAGACAUUCGUAUACCCGGAGAAAAUAGAAAUAGAGAAAAGUUGUUCUUCUGAGUCUGUGUGUGAACGUCUAUAAUAACCGCAAGUUUAAUGCAGUCUGCAAAAACAUUAUGUAAACACUUCAAUCGAAAGAGCUGUCUUCAGGAUGAUCAAAUUAGACAGAUGCAAAUUUACUAGUUAGAAUCUUACGUGGAAACAAGAUUUUUCAUUAUCUGUACAACUUGAAGACGUGUCAAAUUACGUUGCAAUAAAGAAAUAUACGACUUUCAAUCGCAAAUAUUGACUGGCUUUCUGAUCUAAUCAAGAAAAGUGGUGAAAAUAAACUUUCAUCCUCUCGCGCAUGAUUAGCAUUUUUUAAUGUUUAUUUCAAUGUUUAACAAUUCAUUUUUUUAAAUUUAAUAACAAAAUUUUGUUAAAAUUAAAUGUUUUCUAUACGAAAAUAUCAAAUGUAUUGUGAUUUGUACAAAUUAGAUAAAGACAUUUUUUCAUAAACAUUUUACAUUGAUUCGCUCACUUUAAAUAAAAAUUUGCAUAAAAUUGUUCUCUUUUAUAAAUAAUUCAUAUUGAUUCGAUGAGCUUCUUGUUUACAUUCAUAUUAAAUUUUGAAACAUAUGUUAUGGACUUAAUUAAUAGUAAACGUUAUAAAAUGUUUAAUGAACAAUUAAAAGAUUGGUUUAUUUAUUGCAAUAAGUUUUCUCGUAAGUCGUGGUAUUUUAAACGGGCCUUGAUCUCAACAUUCUAACGUGCAUAAUAAAGUUCUUUCAACAGAUUCGCAUACACUAUGUAAUAUUAUAGCUUUUUCAACCUUUAUUUUCUGCUAUUUCUGAAAAGAAGAGAAAAAUAGUUGUUCCAGUACAAGCAAGUAAUGAAAAUAUUUUCAAAUAAAAAGGUAUUUGGCUUUACUGUAUGAAAUCAAUAAAAUAUACUAAAGAAGAAGAGUUUCAGGCUUUAGUUAAUAUUUAUUCUCUAUACAUGUUUAUAUGUGUGCGUAGA